UAUUAUACUAAUAAAUAUUAAUGAGCCUAGAUUAUUAAUAGAUAUUUUCUUAAAAUUCAAAGAAUUUGGCGGCAGUUUAGUCUUGUUAGAGGAACCUGUUUUUGAAUCGAUACACCACGUUGAAUUUUACUCAUUUUAUUAAGUUUAUAUACCGUCAUUAACGGAUAAUUUUUAAAGAAUUAAUUAUUAAGGUUUAAAGAUAAAUAAUUAAGUUAAAUUAGAUCAAGGUGUAGCCUAUGAAUGAGUUAAAAUGGGUUACAAUAAGAUUUAUUUAUAACGAAGGAGUUAAAGAAAUAAGGCUGUAAAGGAGGAUUUAAUUGUAAUGAGAGUUUAAUAAACUAAAGAGAUAUAAGCUCUAAAUU
rnacentral:rRNA from 1 species